CCACUUGUCCCGCAGGGUCCCAGCCAGAGGCUUUACGCAGUCCCACACAUUCUCGGGGGUCCCAUUCAGGAUGCCUUCCCCUCGGUACCUGGAGCAAGAAAAGGGAAUGUGACUCCACAGCAUCAGACCUGCUUACCCUGGGACGCUGCAUGAGGCCUGGAUGCCACGCCUGUAGGUCUGUCAUCGCCCUCUAGGACAACCUGGUAGAGGAGGGGCUGACGUUUACCAGCCAACCUCCCCCCAGGCCUGCAGAAAUGGACAGCACGCAUUCCCAAGAAUAUAGCGUGCUGGAGACGAUUCAGUUAAAAACAUAAGCUUUUCUGGAAAAUAACUGGUGACGAAUCCAGGGUGUGAGGAUUGAUCAGCAUCUUAGGAAGCAAACCCACAGAGACAUCAGGAAGGCAGUGGCCCCUCGGACCCCUCGGACGAGCUUUGAACAAGGUGUGCACUUACAGCUUCCCUGGAAACUCCAUAGAUGGCCUCCAGCAAACGGAAACUCCGUUCUGUCAAAAGGCACAGAAUCGCAGAAUUUUAGGGCUGGAAGGGCUGUGGGAGAUCACCUGGCACAACCCCCCUGUCCUGUGGACAAGAAGUCGGGAGCCUCAACAGAGGUCCCAGCACCAAAAGUCACUUAAGUACCGGACGAAGAGCCCUCGGAAGAAGUCUAUGAGCAGAACGCUGGCCGCGGUGAAGAGCAUAUCGAUGAUGGAAAGCUUCAGCAUCUCCUGAAACACAGGGGACCCUUGGGUGCCCCACGCCCUGCCCUCCCGCUGCCCCCUUGUUCUUCAGGAGCCCCCCUCUCUGUUCGUUCCUGUGGGCUUGAGCCGCUGAGCCCCCUCCAAUAGCAUCUUUAUUUCUGGCACUGGAAGGGUGCUCAGUAAAUAUUUGUGAAUUUGAAUUUGGGUCUUGGUCUCUGGGGCCAGCAUGACGUGAGACCAGGGAAGACUCUGGGGUCUGUGGUUCUGAAUCUCUGGGGUCUGUGGUUCUGAACCACAGGAGGCUGUCCGAGGCCCGUGAUUCAGUCUCACUGGGAGAACACCUCGGAGUCGGGAUUCUCUGUCCAGAUCACGUCUGGAAAGGGGAAGGCAGAGGGGCUCAGGGCACAGGCGGGAGCAGACGGCAGGGCUCAGACCCUUAUUCUCAUCUUCGCUACCUGUAUCCUUGGGCAAGCGACCUGACUCCCCGUGCCUCGGUUUCCCUGUCUGUGCCUAUGAGGCUGAUCAGGACAGGAUUUUUCUGAGGACCGAGCACUUAGAUUGGCGCCCGGCAUACAUGAGACUUCACACUGAUUAUAACUAUUAAUUUGAGACCUGCGAAGCCAUGAACCCUCACUGACCCUUAUUUUCCUUUUUUUAUAAAGUGGGUGAUGACAGUGCAGAGUUAAGUGAUGAUAUGGAUGCAAAGGGUUCCGUGAGGGGGGAAGGGAGCCACCUGCCCCACGUAUGUCUCCCAGCACUGGUCCUGCAGACCCUGCGGGUAGACGGCAGUCCUGUUGGCCUCCGAGAGAGGCGGGGUGGCCGUGGGGGCACCAGCCCCUCCUGGGGCCCACGUGCUGUUCCUCCCGGGCUCUCCCCCAGGCCCAGGUGUGGACCAUUUCUGUUCCAUAGGGACCGUCCUGGUGGAAGUGAAGACUGUAGGAUCUAUCCAGGGACUCGUGCUGUUUUUUGUGGCAGCUUCCUGUGGGGAGAGGGAGGAAGGAAAACAAAAAGGUUUUCCAUGUAUUUGUAAGUAAGAAUUUAUCGUGGACCAAGGGUGUCCCCGCCGUGUUUGGGAAUAAUCUCCCUGUCUUGCUGUGUCCCCGUCUCCUCACUCUCCAGCUCGUGGAUUCUUCCUCGACGGAAGCUGGCCCCAGGAACGAAGCCAGGAUGUAACAGGCAGCACCGAGUGGUCCCUGCCGAGUGCCAGAGGCUGUUCCCGGUUAAGCCAUGUUCCGUCUUCCCAUCCUCACCAGAGCGUCGGGAAUUCUCCUUCACCUGAGACACGCUCGCCUGCCAUUCGGGAUUCACUCGCCUUCCAGCCCUACUUCCCAGUGACCACGUUAUUCUACUUGUACUUCCUGGAUCUUGGAUGGCAGGUGGAAAUAACAGUAACUAUUAAGAAUAGACAAGGGAAGGCUGAGAGGAAUAUUCAUACAAAUGGAGGGAAAGGAUGUUUGGAAUGAUAAGCCGUGGUGUGGAGCUGGUUCAGGAAGCGUUCGUUAUUGGUAACAUGGAAGCCACCGCAGUGCUCAGCGAUGGGCACACGGGCAGCUUUGACAAUGCGGCGGGACACGGCGUCGUCUCUACCGCAGGUCUGCAGCUCUUACCUCUGGAAUAACAAUGAAAGCACCUGUCAUAACUGUGAGCACAAUAUUGAUUCCAAACAGCCAUCGCAAGAAUAUGAAAUAGGAGGCGACACCAGAGCCGAAAUGACCUAAACAGAGACAAGGGGAUGAGAACAGGUCAUGGAAAACGCUCCUCGUGCAAGUUCUCCCAUGGCAACACCCACUUUUCCCACACCUGCGGGACACAGACGAGGCACGCCAGGACGGCGCGUUCCCGAGAGGGUCCUUUACAGGGGCCAGCACUCUCCUCAAUAUCUACCAGGGAAUGAAGAUGACCACAAAGUUACUGGCAAGGCGAGCAAGCUUCCGCCAGAGCUGCGGGGGAGGCAGAAGGGGAGAGAGCUUUACAGUCAUGGAGGCGGCAAAGGCCUCAGGGUGCGAGGGCCCUGAACGAGCCGGGGUUCCCAGACCCACCACAUGGUGCCUUUAAUUGUGGCUUCACAGCCUUGGGCAGCUGUAGGACCAACACAGCACCCGGCCCCCCAGCCUGUCUUCUCUGUGCUCCUGCCCAGGGAUGGCACCUGCUUUGGGCCCCGGUGUCUGCAUGAGGUGCGUUUUCUCUGGAGUCACAGCCUGCCUGUCCCCUAGCCUUUCUGCUGCAGGGACGGAGAGCAGGCCCCACUGCAAAGCACUUGAGGAAUGGCGUCCAAGCACACGGCUUGGCCGACCCUGGGAAGGGGCCCAGGAAUCCACACGGCCAAUGAACCCUCGGUGGUUACCACUCCCAGCCCUGCCUAAGGAUCAGGGGUCCAGAGCACACCCUGAAGACGAGUCCCAGCCCGUUGUGUGCCCUGCAUCCUGUAGCCUUCCUCCUGGCCAGAGCUGCCCGCCAGAAGGGUGCUGGGCCCUAUAAACAUGUCCAGGGUUAUAGAAACUUCUAAAUAUAGAAAGGGACUGGAAUGCUGUUCUGAAUGGGGGAGGGAAGAAGUGACGUGUCAGGAAGACGUGCUGGGGCGGGAGCAUCUGCAGAGGCCGGAGAAGUCACCUCUUCACGCCCCCCACCCUGCGCCCCAGCACGAAGCAUGGACUGACCCCCGAUCUUCAGGGGCUCGGGGGACGGGACAGACGCAGCUGAGGGUCGUGAGUGAUGCCGACAACCCGGGCCUAGUGCAGCAGCGGCCGGGCACCCCCAGGCGAGCCCCUACCUCUGCGCCUGCUGCCUGGUAGCCUCGGGUCCUGGUCAGCCUGCCUUCGAACUUCAGCACCAUCUCCUUUGCACGCCUGUGAGAGGAAAAGCGUGACGCUAUCAGUGGAUCUUGAACUUUAGGAUGUGAAUCGACUGAAUGGAUGUUCGAGAUACUGGAGGCCUCUCUCAGUUUCUGACUCAGUAAGGUCCGAGUAAAACCAGAAUUUUCAAUGAUUAAUAGGACUCUGGAGGCUGGAUGCUGACAUUUUUGGAAACGUGGCUGCAGAAGGCAGGUGCUCUGUUUCACCACCACUUCGGCUUUAAAGAGAAAGGGGCUGGUGGGAGGAGAAAUCAAGAAAACUCCCCACUAUUGCACAGCUAGGGAUUGGGAGAGGCAGCAUUUGAACUCAGGCAACCUGCCCUCACCCCUUCCGCCGUUUGCCAUGAUUUAAACAGGCUCUCUGAUAGGACGCCGAGCCCACAGAGAUUCCUCUCCCCCGGAGGAAGGCGAGAGCCACGCAUGUAGAAUUAACCCCUAUCUUUCUUUCUGGGCGAAUGCCUGUCUCUGGCGAGUUUGGUUACUUCGUUCACCUCUAGAAACAAUGCUAAAAUCUAGUGUUUGAAAGCGAGGGAGGAAACCCAAAAUGCCCCACUGACACACACGCCCAACCCAGACAUGCGCAUGCAGACACACGCACAGAGGAGCCGGCCACCCGGAGGCUGUGUGUGGAUGGCUGGACCCCUCAGAAAUCUCACCAAAGGAGACCAGAGAAUGAUUCCUGGAUAGCAACACCCCUGUGACUUCCCUAAGUCUGGUCAAGAGUGACUGGUGCACUCCUCACGCGGGUCGUCAUGCUCCUUUAACGGGCAGGAGGAUGUGGUUUAGCGGGAAGCACCCUUGCGGGAAGCCCACACUUGCUGUUGAAGUCCUUACCUCAGUGCCCGCAGCUUCUGUCCCAUGGUCCAGGGUCUGCAGCGAAUAUUUGCCAUGAGAUCUUUCUGGAACUGUAUAUUCUGGAAGAUCUGCUCUGGAUCGUUGCUGUCCCCUGCUUCUUCAGCAGUAAAGCUGUCAUCCAAGUUACUGAAUGGAUUAGGACAUUAGAGAGGAAAUCUGAUUAGUAGAAUUGCUUCCAGCAAAGACCUCCGUGCCCUGGGAAGGCCAGCAUCUCCCCGCCCGGGGGUCAUCUCUGCGAAGUGUGCGUGUGCAGGGCGGCAGACAGAGAAAUAGGCCGUGUCGGCAGCUGCGGAAGCACAUUCAUUGGAUUCUAUUACUUUGGUGGGUUGCUGAAACAGAGUGGUUUGUCAGGUCAAAUGGUUUCACGGAUGAAAGCUCCCACCAGAAAAUGUCCUAAAAGGAGACGAGAGAAUGCUUAUGGGUGAUUCCUGAAUAGCAACAGCUUUUGUGGUGGUGAAACAAUUUCUUUUUCAGGCUCCUUGAAAUAAUCAGAUAACUAUACAAACAGGCCCCCUCUUGUCCCUCAACUCUGGAGGUAAAAUAGAUAAAACCGAACUCCAUCACCCAGAGACCUCUCCUCACAUUCCCCCUUCGACUCAUUUGAAGCCCAAAAGAGCAGAAUCAGCAGCAAUUUCUAUGAACAAGACAUUAGCUAAACAAAUCUACAUGGACAAAUAUUUCAGGGAACUGGUUACGCUCCAGGAGAACAAUUUUUCAACAUGUAGCAACGUUUAUUCCCAGCAACAAUCAAUAUACUAAACCUAAUGCAACUUUUCAGGGGUGAGAAUAUUCAGUGACCACUAUUUGAUCAAUGGUGCACUUAAAAGAAAAUAAUUCCUUUGCUUUGCCCUAAUUCAGUUUGCUUUUACUUACUCAAAGGAGAAUUUUCUCCUAUUUCUCCAAAUUAAUGAUGCCUUUACAAACAUUUAACUAUUCAAAUAGCACUCCCUACUUCUAAUCAGCCUGAAGCCUUUUCCAGCAGGCACCUGAUCAUGACAGAUACACUGUCCACUCUCUCUCUGUCUCCUGGCAUUGCCCCAUGAGUAAACAGAGUAAAGAUGAAGCAUGCCUGUGGAUGUGGCCACGACAAAGCCAGGCUGGACCCAGCCUUUUGGACUCGGAUGCCCGGCCAGUGGGCAGGCAGAGAGCAGCUCAGUGUGCACACUGCUGAGGUCACAGGCCCAGGUGUCCAGGAAGCGAGAGAAAGGGGUCUCUGAGCUCGUGCGCAAGGAGAAGUGGGCAGGAUGGGGGCUUUGCCUUCCGGUCAAAGGCGAGUGAGGCUCGGGUGCCCUAGGCCUCCCUACCUUGCACGCCUCCUCUUCUGCCCAGGGACUGGGUGGGACCGGCUCACCUGAGCAGCAGGGACUCCUGGUAGAGGUAGUGCUGGCUGGCAUUUCUUCGGAUGCCUCUGUAGCGCUGGGACACCUUGGAGGGUUUCAUGGGGGCUGACCUGCUGUCAGGGAGCCCCAGGAGUGGGCAGGGUGCUGUGAAGCUGCAGACAAGGGUCUGCUGUCACUGAGGCUUCUGACCAGAGCAGCAAGUGGCCCUGCCCUCCCGCUCUGGCAGCCGGCUGCGUCUGCAGCUGGUGCGGGGCAGGGAGCCGCCAGGAGGCCCGUCAGCAUCUGUGAUGUGCAGGGGCUGUGGGCGGGGAUUGGCUGGAGGCGGGGCCAGCAGGGGCCUGGCCAGGUUGAUGAGGGCUCACUGGGCGCUGUCCAGAUAAUCACAUGACCCUUGGGCCCAGAUAGGGCUCUGAGGUUUUGCAAAGCAUCUUACAUGUAUUAGGACUGGUGUUCACAAAAUACUUUGUCCAGGACUUGCCCCAGUCUCACAAUAGAAACCUCUGCUUUUUAAUUGACACAGGAAAUGGUUGGUUUGCAGUAAGGUUAAUUGUACAUUAACUGAGUAGGAAGGUGCAAGACUGAAAUGGGAGCGGCCCCUCCGUUGAGUUCUCCACUUAGGGCACUGGAGACGCAGCCAGCGGGAGCGUAAAUGGAUGGGCUGGGCUUGCACAGCGGGGCGGAAGGAAACGCAACAGCUGCUCCUGGUUUGACCACAGAGAGGGACCUAAUCACCCAUCACUCAUCGUCCCUCCCUGUAAUUCAUUAGCAAGUAAUUAGAUAAGAUUUCUAAAUGAUUUUUUACAAUGAAAGUAAUGUGUAGUAAUUAAAUGAAAACUGGAAACAGUUGGAAAAUUAUUAACAGGAAAAAAGCCUAGAACCUUUGUUGCUAAAUGAUGCUGUUAACAUUUCCAGGGCUUUACCAAGGGUGUGUUUUCCUUGGUGUUUAUGUAUUUUGCAAUUUUACUGUAUGCAUGCGUGUCUCUUAACGUUUUCAUCAAUUUUACGUCUAAAGCAAUUUUCAUGUUUAAAAAAAUCUUCAGUGAACACAAUUUCAUGAACCAGUGGACCACAGAGUGGACUAUUCUAUCACAUGAAAUAUUCAAUUUUUCUCCAUAUUUUCUCACACUCCUUAUUUUCCUCUUGCAUGCAUUUUUUGAUACCGAUGGUUUUUUUCUGCUUUUAAUAUCAUUACCAUGAAAUUAAUGCCAUUUCUUUACAGUUAGUUCUCCAGAAGUGAAAUUACUGGAUGAAAGGGAAUAGCGUUUUUAAAAGUGCGGUAUGUUGUCGAAUGAAAGUCGCUGUCUUUACAGCUCUAUUGGUUUCACGUGUUUCCAUUAUUGCUGGUAAAAUGCACUUCCGGUUUGGCCGGCUUGUCUGGCCUCUGUGGUGCCCUUGGCGUGGUUUUUAAGUUUCCUUCUGGAGCACACUUGGCAUUCAUUUUGGUGAUGAGUUCAAGGUGUGGCUGUCAGGAGGGACUCGGACUCCCUUCCCCGGUUCCUCCCAAGGCCCUUCGGUUCCUCCCAAGGCCCUUCGGCUCCUCCGGGCAGAGAGAGGCCGCGCAGGGGAGGCGGCUUUCCGGAUGCAAGUGGAUCGAGCCUGCGGCGUGCAUUUUACUUCCUCUGACAAUUUCCUCAAAGGCUUCAGGUAUGCUGGGUGAUUUUAAGUUAAAUCAGCAUGUAUGUAUAGAUAAAAUGGCUAAAAAUCCCUCAAAUGGUUACAAUUGGAAUACUAAAAAAUCAGAAAGGAUGUCCAAUGUCAAAAUGGGCCCAAACCAUUAUUGUCUAGACCGACUGCUUUCAGGAUCUCCGUGGUGGGAGAAGGAAAGCAAUGCGGGAAAAGGAGAAAUGUAGCAAGUGAAACCUAUUUGUAAAACACAGAAAUUCCUUUCAGUCAAAAAAAAAAAUUAGAAUUUUGUUAUAAAUCCCAGUAGCUUUUAACUCGAAUCAUCAGAUGGCUUAGCUUACAGGAACAAGCACACUCAUUGCCUACGUCAUCAAUUAAAGAAAAAAAAAUUCCAUUCCCCUGCUAAGUGAAUUCUAUUCUUAGACGUUAAUGUCCCCGAGCCCAUCUGAGAGGGUGACACAGGCCUGCCACCCACAGCGCGAGCUCCCUGCUCUCAGCCAUCAGGCUCUUAGCUCUGGAUCUCCUGAGAGAGACUUCCCCAUUUCUGAGAUACAGUUACAUGCCUGCCGCAUUGUUUCAGUGACUCUUAAACUCUGUUUGAAGUUUAGAUAUAUUUUUGGGGGUCUGGAAAAGGUUACUUAGGGAAGAUGCUCAAGAGUAGAUCGUUUCCAGUUUUCUGAAUAACAGCUGAUGUUGAGACACCAGAGGAAUGUUUCUGCUGUUUUGAGUUUCUCAGGAAACACCAGCUGCAAGUAAGUUUGAAACUGGGCGGAGGCUGAGCUGUCCAUCUGGGGCCAUGCGCCACUUCCCAGUGGGGCAGAGAUGGGAGGGUCCUAGAGGGGGCUGCCCGGCUACAGUCGCCCCUGCAGUAAGUGAGCCCCAACAGAUGCCCUGGAAGGAGGGGCCGAUCAUCAGAUGGGUCGCAAAUGAGAUACAAGUCACAGAGCUGCCCUGUUCCGCUCUGUUGCGCUUUCUCAGGCAAAGAAAUUCUCUUUCAUAGGUGACUAAAUCUAAACACAUAAACUGUACUAGGAAAUGAAAGAAAUAUCAAACUUUCUCAAAAUCUGGGGUAAAGGAAAGCAGUUGAAUUUCUUGUCAAGUGACCAUGUAUAGUUGGCUGUGGUUUUUCUUGAACGAUUCUUAGGUUAUUUGAUUUCCUUACUGUCUGUGGACUUUUAGAAAGCCCAGCCAGGGUUGUCUCUGAGGAGGGGCAUAUUUGUGAGGGGCCUCAGGGACCCCUUAUAAACUCACACUGGCUGUAGAUGAAGAGGGCAGGCCAAGGGGAAGUGCCGGGCAGGUGGUCAGUCCGCAGGGAAGGCUCGUGGGUUGGGGAUGGUGGUCAGACACUGGCCACAUGCAAGGGGGGCGCGGUAGUCCUGGGGACCUUCUAGAUGAUGGCUGGCAUGACUUCAUCCAGGAACAUGGAGUUGCUGGUGAGUUAUGGCUCAUGGCUGUUGCCUGAGGACCUUCCCCUGUCCCUCUCCCUCAUUCUCUGGCCCUCAUAUCACUUAAUUUAGGACAUUACAGGAAGUUUCCCUUGUCAGCUGUUUGGUUUAUCUACACUGUAUCUUCAACAAGCAUGUUGGGAUGUGUGUUCUGAUUAGUAGCCUUUCUUUAUCAGUGUUGUUUACAGUUUUUCCCUUGGCUUUGUGAUCCGUGAACUUAGCCUUUCAUUCAAGCAUCGAGGGCCUGGAUCACCCUCAUUGCGUACCGUGGAAUCCCACUGACCGGGUGUGGAUUUGCCAGUUUCCCCUGACAUCUUCCCAGCUCCCAGUUCCCUUUGGGGCUCAUUAUUUCCUCCUAUCACCUCAGCUGCGGUUCUGUUUCAGGGACAGCCACUUCGUGUUGUUUCACUAAAAGAAGCAAACACAGUUUAAAAAUUACAUUUUAUUUUCUGUAGCCAGGGAGCUCUUUGUAAUAAGAGUUUACGGUAAAUCAGGCCCCUUCUCUUCUAGAACCUCCAGCAGCUUCUCCUCUUGGUCAGAAUAAAAGUCAAAUCCUUACCUAGACCUGCAAGGCUGGGGAAGAGCUGGUCCUUUGAUGCUUUCUGAGCUCAUGUCCUGCAGUUCAACGCCCUUGCUUUGCAGUGACCACACUGGCCAUCGUGUUUGUGGCCUCAGGCCGUUUGCACGUGUCAGAAUGUUCUACCCCAUGCACGUUCACUUGCCUACAGUCUUUUCUCCUUCAAGUCUCUUUCCAAAUGGUUCCUUAUCUGAGAGUCUCUGGCUUACCCUGUCUGUAAGCCACCCUCAUUUUCUUCUUAUCAUGCUUUAUUUUUUCUCUGUAGCACUUAUACUGCCUGAUGCUAGCUAUGCACAUAUUCGCACCUGCUAGCCCACCUGUUACAGAACUACACUUUAACAAAAAGUAAAAAAAAACACUUUUAUUACAUAUUACAUCUUUCUCUAAAGAAGACAGAAUUUACUCUAACGUGUGACUAAGCAAAAAUUGAGUCUCUUAUUUGUUCCGUGUCUCCUCAUCCGUUUCAUGUGUGCGUCGACUUGGGGUCAAAUCGUCUAGCCACCGCGUGCGGGCUCCACUGCCUGGAGAAGUCGCUGACUGUCCACGAGCCUGUAUUUCCUCACCUGUUGGGUGGAAAUGACCUUGCCGGGUGGCAAGGACUCAGGAUGCUGCAUAGGAUGUGCCUGGAGGAAACCUGGAGUCUAAAAACUGGCAACUAUGUUUUAUUGUGUCUGUAGCAACAUUGUUGUUUAAACCUCCCCAUGAAAGCAUGGCUUGAAUACUAUGAGUUUAGUGAUUUUGUGUGAACUAUUGUUAGAGCCAUUUCAUCACCAUCAUUCGCAUUGUUUUAACUUCAGCAUCAACGCCUGAGCACAGUGGUCGGAAGCCCCCACUUCCUGAUGCCCGACCUGAUUCAUCGGGGAAUUCGCCAAGAAAGCUGACUGCCAGUCUGUCCAUUCCAUGACAGACGCCCUGCCAGGCUCUGUAAUCUUCAACAAAUACAAAUAAAGAAAUCUUGGGCACCUCGUUUACAACAAUUCUGUUUCUCUCCUACCUUUCGGCUCCGCCCUUCCAAUCCCAGCUAAUGUCAAGGCCAAAGGAGAUUCCCAAGCUGUGGCUGGGGACCAGAGUGAAUGCGCCAGGAUGUGGCCAUGGAGGUGGUGGCUGAGACGGCAGAGCCGCAAGGCGGAGGAAGCUGGAUCUCCGAGUCACUGCACGGAGGAGGCCGUCCCUGGACCCACCAGGCUCUGACGGGAGCCGACACUGACCUUGACCGAGCUGAACACACCCUGCAGUGCUGACGCCCACAGACCCAUGUGUGACAUACCCAGUGUGACCAGGUAGUCUUGAUGGAUGUGACUGGUGGCGUGUCUCGGUUCUGUAAUAAGAAUCUCCUGGAGAGUAUCGGCUGAAGGAACGGCAGUCACUGGGAGGAGCAUAGCCUCUCCCCACCUGCUCGUAAGUCCCUGAAGCAGACGUUUCUGACGCCUGUUAAUCCCAGUGGCCAGGCUGAGCCGUCCGUGAUCUCACACGCUCAGCUCUGUUCUUUCCCGCUGCUGCUGAUCGGCCUGUAAAGGAAGUGAAGCAAACGCAGGGACAGCAUCUGCCGGCCCUGAUGCAGGUAAACAGGUGGAAGUUUAGCCAGUGUCGCCCCGAGGCAGCCCCAGGUGUCUGUUACUAAGAACAGGAAGCACUGGGCGUCCGUCCGGGCCUCGCUCCGGGAUAUCACCAGCUUCCGGAGACCAGGGGUCACGAGAAAGCCAUUCAAGCGGGUGUACCAGCUCAACACGUGUGCUGCUUUGGGAAGGCAGAGGCAGGCGUUAGCCUCUGGGCAAUGGGAGGUGGGGGCUGCUGGUCUCUACUGCGGCCCCCCCUGGACGGCGACCAGAACUCUAAGUCGUGGAGACCCGGGCUGCCGGCUCCCUCUGCUGCCGGACCUUUGCUUCUUACUCGCUCUUGUCCACCUGUCCCUGCCCUGGCUCUCCCCCAGCUCCUGGGGUCGGAAGGCAGGAAACCCCGGCUCUUCCGGUCUUACACUUAGGCCAGUGCAUCCUGGCACAUGCGGUCAUGUGUCUGCCUCUUUGUCUUCCGGAUCUGUGGUGAAUGGCUGACGUCUCACUGUCUGACCUUGCAGGUUGGGGUGCCGGCAGGUGGAUAAAAGACUCCAAUGAAUGGUGAUGAAAUUAUGUGACCCCAGAGUGCACGCACAUGCGUGUAUUUAUGUGUGUGUGUGUGUGUGUGUGUGUGUGUGUGUGUGUGUGUGAGUGAGAUGUACCAAGUCUUACUUGACUUUUGAGGCCUGACUCUCAGUGGUAAGUGACUCAAAUGAGGCCACGCUGGGAAGACAGCUCCCGGCGUCCUGGACUUGGAGAGACUCGCCUCGGAAUGCGGGGGACUUCUCCCCUUCACAUUCAUGAUCCCUGAGCUUCCCUGUGUUAAUCGACCGACGCAGGCCGUGUCCUGCUCUAAGGGGUCCCGUCCUGGGCGCGUUCAAGGGCAGUAAGCAAAUGGGUGCCCCCCGGCCUUUUCCUGCACGCAGCCCUACAGCCGCAGCCCGCCCAGUGGGACGUCCAGGAGGUACUGAGCCACCUUUUUAAAAGGACUGAAUGGUGCUGCCCCUGAUCCCAGGGGGCUGCUCAGUCUGGUUCCUCCCGACCCCGCCUAAACCCCUGCGCGAGCGGCUUGCCUGGGCCCUGCAUACGGGCCUCUUUGGAGGCAGUUCACGUCACAGCUGCUUAUUUCUCUAAGAUCAGCAGAGUCUCUCCCCCCUGUCUGCUGACAGCUGAUUCUGCAGCCUCUCUGGAACACAGUUUUUCCAUAUUGUCAGUGGGGUCCAAGGCUGGAGAGGAAAUCAGUCGGAGUAUUUCAUUCUGAAAUUCUAUGUACAAAAUUUCCAGGUGGACUGCGUUCCAGGGUCAGGAUAAAGUCUCCAUCUGGCGGCCAAGUUCAGUCCUGCAAGCACUCUGGGCGUAACUGACCACGAGCAACCCACCCGCGACCUGGAGGGGCGGCUCUGAGGUCCGUGACUUCCGUGAGAAGCACAGACACACCUUCUAAACUCUGGUCCAGCAGGACAGGCUUCGUUCCCAGCCACUUGGAAGGGGGUUUCAACUUACACAGUGAACUAUGAAAAGAUAUUGAUGCAGAAUUUAUGUACUAUAAAGGCAUCAUGUAUUGGGGGAAAUGACCUAGGGUCAACAACGCAAGGACAUACAUGAAUAAAAUAACUCAGGUACUUUAUAGAGAAAAACUCCUCCAAGUGUCUAAGUAAAAUAAAUUCACCUAAAAGUGGAAAAAAAUCCCUGGCUGGCUUCAGAUUUCUCCGUAGCAGCACUUAAAGCCAGAAGAGGGUGUAACAACAGCCCUUAUAGAUCCUCAACGAAAGAUAGGGUAACCCAAGGAUUUAUUUCCAAGCAAAUUGUCCGACAGGUACAAAGGCGAGAGACAUGCUUUUGAGUAAACACGACCUCAGACUCUUCUGAGAAAACUACCAAAGGGAUGAACCUCUGUGAAAAACGAUGUGAAGGCAGAGGAACAGUGAAAAAGGAAUAUUGUUAAUUGUAGAGCUAGGACUAAAUAAUGCAGAAGUGAGGGGUUAGAGGGGAAGACAAAUAUUACAUGUGCUGAUGAUGUAGGAAUGAUACAAGUAACAGAAAUAGGUGAGAGAGGUCAAUUCAAGGUGGGGAGGUAAAAAAGCGGUAUUUACCACCUGCUCUGCAAGAUUUGGGAGCCAAAGGAAUUAAUUUAAAGCCUAAAUGGAAAUCUUAGUUUAAAUUGAACAAUUAUACCUUUAAAUAGUUCAAAAGCAAUCCAGAGAGACAUAAUACUAUAAAUCAACAUGGGAUUGUAGGACAGGGAAGAGGGGACAGGAAAAGAAUGGGCUAAUUUACCGCUAUGGAUAGUGAUAACAUCUGAAGACACUGAGAAAUAACGGUAUUAAAUAAUGUCAUAUAGGCAAGCCCUGGAGGGCCUCGCAGGCCUCUAUAUUCAUCAGAAAACCCAACACACACACCACACAGUCAGAAAGACCUUAGAUAGAUAUAAACAGAAAUUAUAGUGUAAAAUAAUACAACAGAGAUAAAACCAAACUAUGUCUUGUAAAUAUGCUAAGGGUUUAACUAAUUUAUAAAGAGAAAGGUAUUUAUAUUGGGUCCACAGCAAAACAUGGUUCCCUUUUAUCCAGAACUGUGAUGGAGAGAGGCCGACACGAAAAUCCAGGCAAAUGAAUCCAAGUGAAUUCAGACCAGGUGCAUGGCACCCAUAGCCCCCCCACCAGAAAAGGCGGUGCUUAGCCCGCAGAAGGGAGGACAUGCCCACUGCAGCCCCACGGUGUGUGCGGUUAACUCAGCAGACCGGCUUUCCUGUCCCAGGCGUGAGCCCCACAGUCCGGCCUGGUCUGAGGACCCAAUAUAACUACUGUAAGAAUUCUGCUAAGGACAUUCCUUACAGCUGAAGUUCAGUGUGGCAUAGAGUCAUGAUUAUUUUUUAGGAUAAGUUCCUGAGGCUGGGAAAGGACACUGGCUUGUUCUAAAUUGUCCUCAACAGGGUGCCCCAAUUUUCUUCCCAGUAACCAUUCUAUGAGAGUGAAUGUUUAUCUCCCAAACG